rnacentral:rRNA from 1 species
GAUGAACGCUGGCGGCGUGCCUAAUACAUGCAAGUCGAGCGAACGGACGAGAAGCUUGCUUCUCUGAUGUUAGCGGCGGACGGGUGAGUAACACGUGGAUAACCUACUUAUAAGACUGGGAUAACUUCGGGAAACCGGAGCUAAUACCGGAUAAUAUUUUGAACCGCAUGGUUCAAAAGUGAAAGACGGUCUUGCUGUCACUUAUAGAUGGAUCCGCGCUGCAUUAGCUAGUUGGUAAGGUAACGGCUUACCAAGGCAACGAUGCAUAACCGACCUGAGAGAGUGAUCGGCCACACUGGAACUGAGACACGGUCCAGACUCCUACGGGAGGCAGCAGUAGGGAAUCUUCCGCAAUGGGCGAAAGCCUGACGGAGCAACGCCGCGUGAUUGAUGAAGGUCUUCGGAUCGUAAAACUCUGUUAUUAGGGAAGAACAUAUGUGUAAGUAACUGUGCACAUCUUGACGGUACCUAAUCAGAAAGCCACGGCUAACUACGUG